CCUACGGGGGGCAGCAGUGAGGAAUAUUGGUCAAUGGGCGCAAGUCUGAACCAGCCAAGUAGCGUGAAGGAUGACUGCCCUACGGGUUGUAAACUUCGUUUGUAAUAGAAUAAACACACCCACGUGUGCCGUCUUGCAUGUAUAAUACGAAUAAGGAUCGGCUAACUCCGUGCCAGCAGCCGCGGUAAUACGGAGGAUCCAAGCGUUAUCCGGAUUUAUUGGGUUUAAAGGGUGCGUAGGCGGUUUGAUAAGUUAGUGGUGAAAGACCGGUGCUCAACCCUAGAACUGCCUCUAAUACUGUUGAACUAGAGAGUAGUUGCGGUAGGCGGAAUGUAUGGUGUAGCGGUGAAAUGCUUAGAGAUCAUACAGAACACCGAUUGCGAAGGCAGCUUACCAAACUAUAUCUGACGUUGAGGCACGAAAGCGUGGGUAGCAAACAGGAUUAGAUACCCGAGUAGUC
rnacentral:rRNA from 1 species